rnacentral:rRNA from 1 species
UACGUAGGGGGCAAGCGUUGUCCGGAAUUAUUGGGCGUAAAGCGCGCGCAGGCGGUUCGUUAAGUCUGAUGUGAAAGGGCACGGCUUAACCGGGGAAAUGCAUUGGAAACUGGGGGGCUUGAGUGCAGGAGAGGAGGGGGGAAUUCCCGGUGUAGAGGUGAAAUUCGUAGAGAUCGGGAGGAACAUCAGUGGCGAAGGCGCCCAUCUGGACGGUAACUGACGCUGAGACGCGAAAGCGUGGGGAGCAAACAGG